rnacentral:rRNA from 1 species
GCUACAGGCUUAACACAUGCAAGUCGAGGGGCAGCAUGGUCUUAGCUUGCUAAGGCCGAUGGCGACCGGCGCACGGGUGAAUAACACGUAUCCAACCUGCCGUCUACUCUUGGACAGCCUUCUGAAAGGAAGAUUAAUACAAGAUGGCAUCAUGAGUCCGCAUGUUCACAUGAUUAAAGGUAUUCCGGUAGACGAUGGGGAUGCGUUCCAUUAGAUAGUAGGCGGGGUAACGGCCCACCUAGUCUUCGAUGGAUAGGGGUUCUGAGAGGAAGGUCCCCCACAUUGGAACUGAGACACGGUCCAAACUCCUACGGGAGGCAGCAGUGAGGAAUAUUGGUCAAUGGGCGAGAGCCUGAACCAGCCAAGUAGCGUGAAGGAUGACUGCCCUAUGGGUUGUAAACUUCUUUUAUAAAGGAAUAAAGUCGGGUAUGCAUACCCGUUUGCAUGUACUUUAUGAAUAAGGAUCGGCUAACUCCGUGCCAGCAGCCGCGGUAAUACGGAGGAUCCGAGCGUUAUCCGGAUUUAUUGGGUUUAAAGGGAGCGUAGAUGGAUGUUUAAGUCAGUUGUGAAAGUUUGCGGCUCAACCGUAAAAUUGCAGUUGAUACUGGAUAUCUUGAGUGCAGUUGAGGCAGGCGGAAUUCGUGGUGUAGCGGUGAAAUGCUUAGAUAUCACGAAGAACUCCGAUUGCGAAGGCAGCCUGCUAAGCUGCAACUGACAUUGAGGCUCGAAAGUGUGGGUAUCAAACAGGAUUAGAUACCCUGGUAGUCCACACGGUAAACGAUGAAUACUCGCUGUUUGCGAUAUACGGCAAGCGGCCAAGCGAAAGCGUUAAGUAUUCCACCUGGGGAGUACGCCGGCAACGGUGAAACUCAAAGGAAUUGACGGGGGCCCGCACAAGCGGAGGAACAUGUGGUUUAAUUCGAUGAUACGCGAGGAACCUUACCCGGGCUUAAAUUGCAGAUGAAUUACGGUGAAAGCCGUAAGCCGCAAGGCAUCUGUGAAGGUGCUGCAUGGUUGUCGUCAGCUCGUGCCGUGAGGUGUCGGCUUAAGUGCCAUAACGAGCGCAACCCUUGUUGUCAGUUACUAACAGGUUCCGCUGAGGACUCUGACAAGACUGCCAUCGUAAGAUGUGAGGAAGGUGGGGAUGACGUCAAAUCAGCACGGCCCUUACGUCCGGGGCUACACACGUGUUACAAUGGGGGGUACAGAGGGCCGCUACCACGCGAGUGGAUGCCAAUCCCAAAAACCUCUCUCAGUUCGGACUGGAGUCUGCAACCCGACUCCACGGAGCUGGAUUCGCUAGUAAUCGCGCAUCAGCCACGGCGCGGUGAAUACGUUCCCGGGCCUUGUACACACCGCCCGUCAAGCCAUGGGAGCCGGGGGUACCUGAAGUGCGUAACCGCGAGGAGCGCCCUAGGGUAAAACUGGUGACUGGGGCU